GACGAACGCUGGCGGCGUGCUUAACACAUGCAAGUCGAACGGAAAGGCCCUGCUUUUGUGGGGUGCUCGAGUGGCGAACGGGUGAGUAACACGUGUGUAACCUGCCCUUGACUUUGGGAUAACUUCAGGAAAAUGGGGAUAAUACCGGAUAGGAGCUCCAGCUGCAUGGUGGGGGUUGGAAAGUUUCGGCGGUUGGGGAAGGAUUGGCGGCUUAUCGGCUUGUUGGUGGGGUUGUGGCUUACCAAGGUUUCGACGGGUAGGCGGCCUGAGCGGGUGAACGGCCACAUUGGGACUGAGGGACGGCCCAGACUCCUACGGGAGGCAGCAGGGGGGAAUAUUGCACAAUGGGCGGAAGCCUGAUGCAGCAACGCCGCGUGCGGGAUGACGGCCUUCGGGUUGUAAACCGCUUUCGCCUGUGACGAAGCGUGAGUGACGGUAAUGGGUAAAGAAGCACCGGCUAACUACGUG
rnacentral:rRNA from 1 species